CGUAGGGUGCAAGCGUUAAUCGGAAUUACUGGGCGUAAAGCGUGCGCAGGCGGUUUUGUAAGUUUGUCGUGAAAGCCCCGGGCUCAACCUGGGAAUGGCGAUGAAGACUGCAAGGCUUGAAUCUGGCAGAGGGGGGUAGAAUUCCACGUGUAGCAGUGAAAUAGCGUAGAGAUGUGGAGGAACACCGAUGGCGAAGGCAGCCCCCUCGGGUCAAGAUUGACGCUCAUGCACGAAAGCGUGGGGAGCAAACAGGAUU
rnacentral:rRNA from 1 species